rnacentral:miRNA from 1 species
CACAAGUGCUGCUGGGAGCAGUGGUGCAUGCCUGUAAUCCCAGCUAUUAGGGAGGCUGAGGCAGGAGGAU